AUUGAACGUUGGCGGCAGGCCUAACACAUGCAAAUCGAGUGGAGCGGCGGAAGGGUGAGUAAUGCCUAGGAAUCUGCAUGGUAGUGGGGGAUAACGUUCGGAACCGGGUGCUAAUCACGCAUAUGAUCAGACGAGCUUUCGUCGGAAGAGCUAGUUGUUGGGGUAGAGACCUACCACGGCGACGAUCCGUAACUGGUCUGAGAGGAUGAUCAGGCAAACUGGGACUGAGACACGGUCCAGACUCCUACGGGAGGCAGCAGUGGGGAAUAUUGGACAAUGGGCGAAAGCCUGAUCCAGCCAUGCCGCGUGUGUGAAGAAGGUCUUCGUAUUGUAAAGCACUUUAAGUUGGGAGGCGUUACCAACAGAAUAAGCACCGGCUAACUUCGUGCCAGCAGCCGCGGUAAUUC
rnacentral:rRNA from 1 species